rnacentral:rRNA from 1 species
AGAGGGUGCAAGCGUUAAUCGGAAUUACUGGGCGUAAAGCGCGCGUAGGUGGUUAUUCAAGUUGGCUGUGAAAGCCCCGGGCUUAACCUGGGAAUGCCAGCCAAAACUGGAUGACUCGAGUACAGUAGAGGGAAGUGGAAUUUCAGGUGUAGCGGUGAAAUGCGUAGAUAUCUGAAGGGACACCAGUGGCGAAGGCGGCUUCCUGGACUGAUACUGACACUGAGGCGCGAAAGCGUGGGGUAGCGAACAGGAUUAGAUACCCUGGUAGUCCACGCCGUAAACGAUGAGAACUAGCCCGUUUGUGUCCUAUGAGGCAUGAGUGGCGCAGCUAACGCGUUAAGUUCUCCGCCUGGGAGUACGGCCGCAAGGUUA